GGGGGAUGAAGGACGCCACCGAGGAAGCAGACCCCACUAGACCCCAGCUGAGGGCACUGCCUGCAGAACCACGCCCUCCUGUCCCUGUGCUAAGAGGGUGACGCGAGUGCCCGAAGCCCUGGCCUGGUUACCAUUCGCGACUCCCUCGUCCUGGGUUCUCCCAUUGCCAGGAAUGUUUUACUAGUAACCAUGGUAUAGUUGAGACCAUCCACCCUUGUCCUACGCAUUUCGGCACAAUACAGGCGUCUAGGAGGCUUACCUGGCAUUGCCUGAGAGAAUCUUCCAUCCAUUUAAGUACCCAGUAACAGAGGGAGCAAAGCAAAUCUUAUCCUCAAAGAACUGCAGCUGCUUGUUAGAUCUACCUGGUGGUUCCAUAGAGAAACUGCUCAGAGAACCUGCCUUUACCUCGCCUAAAAUAGAACUAUCCCAGAGCUUAGUUCAUCAACUCAGGAUCCAGUAGUGUAAUACAGAAGCCUGUUACAAGAUAUAAGGCACUUCGCCCUCGGAAAUCUCACUGUCGGAAUCCUUGGAAAUCACACCAUGCACAACUUCUAUUUCUUCAUAAUUUGCAAAGAACCAGUGUGACUCCAGUCAAGAACAAAAGAUUAAUUGUGAAUUAGCGAAGAACUCUAAUUUUUUCAAGAAGCCACAUGGAAAACGCAUUCUAAUGAAGUCCUUUCCAUUGCUCUUUUUUCUUAGUUCUUCAAUAAAGCAUGCGAUUUGAUCACAAA
rnacentral:lncRNA from 1 species